UCAAAAAUCACCCACAAUAACCUGGAAAAUGCUGCGUUUACUUCAGGAUAUAUCCGACUUUUUCUUCGAGUACUAUCGCUUCUUUUGGCUGGUCUCCAUACUGGCGAUACCCUAUCUCUGCUACCGAUCCAAACAGAACGAUUUCAAUAUGCUGGAUUGCAUUAUAAUGUAUGCUUCUGUGUUUAUCGGAGCCUUUGGACUGAUUCAGGACGAAAUAAAUGGUCGUCCUCGCUAGCCCAAGCUACUAAAACAAACCUGAUGCAAAAACCUGUUCGGAAGCUAGAAACUCUUUAAACACUGACCGAAAAAAUUAAAUUAAUGACUUGCCCUAAAGAGCCGCUUGAUUGAUGGGUAUUACGUGUAUAUAUACAUGUUUUUUUUUCUGUUUUAAAACUUUUUGCCGGCGAGAUUGUUGGCGAGGCCGAAACCAGCCAAUCCGACGAGGCAGAAAGUCAAGCUCCACACGAUUCCCUGCCACAUUUUAGCCAGAUAUAUAUAUAUAUAUGAAUAUACUAUAUGCACUUCCACUGAGAUGCUUCCACGAUCUUUGGCUAAUUAUGUAUUAAAAUAUGCAGUUGCAUGGACGGGCACACGUUUUUGUAUGUUUCGUUUUUUAUGCACUUUUGUUUGGC